ACGGAGGGUGCGAGCGUUAAUCGGAAUCACUGGGCGUAAAGCGCGCGCAGGCGGCGUCGUAAGUCAGAUGUGAAAUCCCUGGGCUCAACCCGGGAACUGCAUUCGAUACUGCGUCGCUUGAGUGCGGGAGAGGAAAGCGGAAUUCCAGGUGUAGAGGUGAAAUCCGUAGAUAUCAGGAGGAACACCGGUGGCGAAGGCGGCCUCCUGGCCGGAUACUGACGCUGAGGUGCGAAAGCGUGGGGAUCAAACAG
rnacentral:rRNA from 1 species